GUAGUUUACUACAGAAAAUGACUGAGCGGCGAACGGGUGAGUAACGCGUGAGCAAUCUACCUUAGUUACAGGGAUAGCCCGAGGAAACUCGGAUUAAUACCUGAGAUUCUUUAUUUCUCGCAUGAGAAUAAAAGGAAAGGUCAGCCGAACUAAGAUGAGCUCGCGUUCUAUCAGCUAGUUGGUGAGGUAAAAGCUCACCAAGGCUACGACGGAUAGCUGGUCUGAGAGGACGAUCAGCCACACUGGGACUGAGACACGGCCCAGACUCCUACGGGAGGCUGCAGCAGGGAAUAUUGCGCAAUGAGCGAAAGCUUGACGCAGCGACACCGCGUGUGGGAUGACGGAUCUAGGUUUGUAAACCACUUUCAGGAGGGAAGAAAAUGACGGUACCUCCACAAGAAGCCCCGGCCAACUACGUGCCAGCAGCCGCGGUAAU
rnacentral:rRNA from 1 species